rnacentral:rRNA from 1 species
UACAGAGGGUGCGAGCGUUAUCCGGAUUCACUGGGUUUAAAGGGUGCGUAGGUGGGCUGGUAAGUCAGUGGUGAAAUCUCCAGGCUUAACUUGGAAACUGCCAUUGAUACUAUCAGUCUUGAAUACCGUGGAGGUCAGCGGAAUAUGUCAUGUAGCGGUGAAAUGCUUAGAUAUGACAUAGAACACCAAUUGCGAAGGCAGCUGGCUACACGAAUAUUGACACUGAUGCACGAAAGCGUGGGGAUCAAACAGG